CACUAAAUAUGUAUAUGCUGACAAAGAUAGUGAAGAUAACCAUGAUCCAUCUGCAAAGUAUAGUCUGGAUCCACAUACUUGGGAACAAUUUGCAAAGAGCCAACAAAAGCCUAAUUGGCAAGUUUGACGUAACUUGUUUUUACAUAAAAUUUGAUUUAGGUAAAGUUUGUUAAACUAAUUAUUUCACGGAUACUGUUUUUACAUCAUGACAGGGAAUAAGGAAAAAAGCUCAGGAGAUUCAAAAAUUCAAUGAUUGCCCCCACUUAUUGUCUCGUGGGGGAUACGAUCUGUUGGGAAAAAAAAUUGAAGGACAAGAAAAGGAAGACAAAACUCCAUGAUGCUGAGUUUACUGAAAAUUCAGCUAUGAUCGAAGACCCUCCAUCCCCGAUUGCAAGACAUGUCAAGUGGAAGAUGGCUCGAACAAAGCGAUAUGGCCAGAUGACAUCUACAGCGGCACAAGAGAUCUCUGACAAAAUUGAUGAUUUACAGGAACAAACGACACAAGGCAGUUUUGUGCCAGAUGGUCGUCAGGACAUAUUGAAUACUGUGCUUGGCCGACCAGAGCAUCUUGGUUGUGUUCGUGUAGUUGGACAUGGUGUCACCAUCGGCCAUUACUUUGUACAAGCAUCGCGUGGCUCCAACACUUCUUUGGCAAUAAUCACCGCAGAACAAUUGGUUGAAAUCAUAGGAAAUCUAAAGGAAGAGUGGAAGAGAGAAGUAGAAGAGGAAAACAGACGGAGUAUGGAGAUAAUGAAAAAAGAGUUGAAGGAGGCGAUCAAAACUGAGUUAUCCCAAAUGGCCUCGCAACACUCACCCCCAUUAGACGCGCUUGACCCUGACGUAUUAGCUGCACAUGUAAGCACCAAAGGAAGUUGUGUUGAAGUUGUUGGAAAUGUUGUAACUAAGGAGCCUUCUGCGGUUGAUGUCACUACUAUGGGGUUGUACAUAGUUGGUGACAAGUGUACACGGCUAGUGGCCUUGGGAAAGGUGUUUGAUAAUGCUGCCACAAUGUACACAAUGUCCCGUCUUCAUCACUUACGCAGAUGAUGUGGUCAAGGUCAGUGUUGUGAUUGUUUACAACAGUGACGUGAUGGUCCCAUUUCCCAAGUAAGAGAUUCAGUAUGUCAAGGAGGCCAUUAACAUUUUCAUUGGAUGGCCGACACAUCUUUUGAAACCUAUCUCUGAUGAUUCAAACCAUAAUGUGCAGAAACCAGUGGGACGUGUUGAUGGGAGCAAUGUAGGUGCUGCAGAGGAUCCAUUGGGAGAUUUGAUGAAGAUAUUGUAUGACGUGUACCAAAAGCUAGAGGAACUCCCGUGGGAUGGGACGAAAUUUGGGCUUCCAAAUGUAGAAGCAAGAUUUUUCAUCACACAUGUUGAUGUAGCUAAGAUAAUAGCAGGUGACAAGUGUCUGAACAUAUCUAUACUGCAGUUGUGGAUGAUGUUUAUGGAUGACUGCUGUAGAAGCAAAGAUCAUGGUUCAGUGUAUGGUUUCCUUGAGCCUCAUUCGAUACACAAUGCUAAGGAUAGACGUCAACAAUGUUAACAUUACAUUGAAACAUGGGUCAAGGAGUCACAACGACAACUGUACUUAGGAGCUUACUUGAAUCAGGCACAUUGGCAACAACUUGUUCUAUGUCCAAGGGAAAACAUUGUUGUUUGGUUUUGUUCUUUGCGAAAAAAGCCUGAUAUUAACAUAAAAGCUGCAAUUAACAGGUUCUCCUCAAAUUUAUAAUUGAUUUACUGUAUAAUUGUUGUUCAGACUAUGACAAGGUUUGUCAUGAAAUAUAUGUUUUUUUUGUAAUUUUUGUGACAAGUCCAAUGAAGACAAUAACCAGUACUUUCGAAGGUAUGUCUGAUCAAGCUACACCUUGGUGGAUUGAACCAAAGAGUCAUGUUCAAACCGGAGGCUAUGAGUAUGGAUAUUAUAUCAUGCAUUGGAUGUGGUGCAUAGUUACUUGCGGUUUGAAGGAUGAUUGGAACAAGUGGUUUUCUGAUGGAACAGCGUUAGAAGUGGAAGCCAUCACUACACUUCGCAAGAAAUGGGCAACAUACUUUUUAGCUAUUAAAAAAAUUGGAUGUUAAAUAUGAUUUAGAUUAUGUAGGACGAAAUUUUUUCCUUCAUGACAUGCUUUAUUGUGAACAUUAUAAACAAUUUUGGUUAAUAAUUGACAAUUUUUAACAAUAACUUUCUUGGGCUCUGUCUACAUGUAUGUCUUGAUGUCUAUAUGAGGUUGUUAGUCAGAAGCACAAUUUGUUGGAAAUAGCAGUAAUGCUUCAAAAUUGAUCUUCACUUCCUUUGAGUACAAAGGUAUAAAUUACAGGGCUCAUAGUGCUUCAUUGACUGAUUUUUGUGGUGUUGGAGCUAGAAAUACAUCAAAUACAAAGGCUUUUCAGUCUGCAAUCAGUCAUCUGAGUCAGUUUGCUUCUAAAGGAAGGGUUCAACUGUAUGUUCCUACUGGGAAGUGGCUUACAGGGAGUUUUAGUCUAAUCAGUCACUUCACUUUGUAUGUAAACAA